GACGAACGCUGGCGGCGUGCUUAACACAUGCAAGUCGAACGGAAAGGCCCUGCUUGCAGGGUACUCGAGUGGCGAACGGGUGAGUAACACGUGGGUGAUCUGCCCUCCACUUCGGGAUAAGCCUGGUAAACUGGGUCUAAUACCGGAUAGGAGCCAUUUUUAGUGUGAUGGUUGGAAAGUUUUUUCGGUGUAGGAUGAGCUCGCGGCCUAUCAGCUUGUUGGUGGGGUAAUGGCCUACCAAGGCGGCGACGGGUAGCCGGCCUGAGAGGGUGGACGGCCACAUUGGGACUGAGGUACGGCCCAGACUCCUACGGGAGGCAGCAGUGGGGAAUAUUGCACAAUGGGCGCAAGCCUGAUGCAGCGACGCCGCGGGGGGGAUGACGGCCUUCGGGUUGUAAACUCCUUUCGCUAGGGACGAAGCUUUUUGUGACGGUACCUAGAUAAGAAGCACCGGCUAACUACGUG
rnacentral:rRNA from 1 species